AAAUUGAAGAGUUUGAUCAUGGCUCAGAUUGAACGCUGGCGGCAGGCCUAACACAUGCAAGUCGAACGGUAACAGGAAACAGCUUGCUGUUUCGCUGACGAGUGGCGGACGGGUGAGUAAUGUCUGGGAAACUGCCUGAUGGAGGGGGAUAACUACUGGAAACGGUAGCUAAUACCGCAUAACGUCGCAAGACCAAAGAGGGGGACCUUCGGGCCUCUUGCCAUCGGAUGUGCCCAGAUGGGAUUAGCUUGUUGGUGGGGUAACGGCUCACCAAGGCGACGAUCCCUAGCUGGUCUGAGAGGAUGACCAGCCACACUGGAACUGAGACACGGUCCAGACUCCUACGGGAGGCAGCAGUGGGGAAUAUUGCACAAUGGGCGCAAGCCUGAUGCAGCCAUGCCGCGUGUAUGAAGAAGGCCUUCGGGUUGUAAAGUACUUUCAGCGGGGAGGAAGGGAGUAAAGUUAAUACCU
rnacentral:rRNA from 1 species